rnacentral:rRNA from 1 species
GACGAACGCUGGCGGCGUGCUUAACACAUGCAAGUCGAACGGAAAGGCCCUGCUUUUGUGGGGUGCUCGAGUGGCGAACGGGUGAGUAACACGUGAGUAACCUGCCCUUGACUUUGGGAUAACUUCAGGACACUGGGUCUAAUACCGGAUAGGAGCUCCUGCUGCAUGGUGGGGGUGGGAAAGUUUCGGCGGUUGGUGAUGGACUCGCGGCUUAUCAGCUUGUUGGUGGGGUAGUGUCUUACCAAGGCCAGGACGGGUAGCCGAGCUGAGAGGAGGAGAGGACCAGCCACACUGGGACUGCGACACGGACCAGAAUCCUACGCGAGGGAGCAGUGGGGAACAUUGGACAAGGGGCGAAAGCCUGAUAAAGCAAUGCCGCGUGAGUGAUGAAGGCCUUAGGGUUGUAAAGCCCUUUUACCCGGGAUGAUAAUGACAGUACCGGGUGAAUAAGCACCGGCUAACUCCGUG